rnacentral:rRNA from 1 species
CCUACGGGUGGCAGCAGUGGGGACUAUUGCACAAUGGGGGAAACCCUGAUGCAGCAACGCCGCGUGAGUGAAGAAGUAUUUCGGUAUGUAAAGCUCUAUCAACAGGGAAGAAGAUGACGGUACCUGACCAAGAAGCCCCGUCUAACUACGUCCCCGCAGCCGCGGGUAUACGUAGGGGGCAAGCGUUAUCCGGAUUUCCUGGGGGUAAAGGGAGCGCAGACGGCAGUGCAAGGUUGGAGUGAAAGCCCGGGGCCCAACCCCGGAACUGCUCUGGAAACUGUGCGGCUAGAGUACUGGAGGGGCAGGCGGAAUUCCUAGUGUAGCGGUGAAAGGCGUAGAUAUUAGGAGGAACACCAGUGGCGAAGGCGGCCUGCUGGACAGUAACUGACGUUGAGGCUCGAAAGCGUGGGGAGCAAACAGGAUUAGAUACCCCGGUAGUC